GAUUUGUUUCUCAAUUACCCAUAUAUGUUAUAUUUAUAAUGUCCUCAGAAAUGUUUCGGAGAAAUAUAUGAGUCCUUGCGGAGCAUGUCGACAAUUUCUCUCAGAGUUCACUAAAGACAGCGGAGACUAUGAUAUUUAUAUGAGUAAACCAGACCUCACUUACGACAAGAAAAAAAUAUCGGAGUUGCUUCCCUGUGCUUUUAGUUUGAAUUAAUUAGAAUGACUGGUGAACUUAAUAGAACUGCAGCUGCAUUUAUACCACAUCACUUUAUUUCUGAUACAUUGGAUCAAUAUCAAUUAUAUUAUAAAGGAAGUAAAAAACGGCUCUAUUUUA
rnacentral:sRNA from 1 species